GUUUUGCGGCUGUAAUUGCAUCUUGCACUUGAGUGUCAUCAACGGCAAGAAGACGAUCUCCUGGUUGAAGAGCACCGCAACGAUCAGCUAUACUCGCUGGACGAAGACUCUCAAUAUAGACGCCAUUUGGAGUUUCCCUUACAAAAAUAAUUAAAAUCACCGGAAGGUCCUCGCUCGAGUUGAACGAGUAGUGGACCGGAAGUAGCGGCUCGAGCCUCAUCCAUAUUGGCAAUAUCGUAUUCGAUUGUGAGGGAUGCAACUGGAGAAUCAGAACUUCUUCGAAGAGCUCGUUGUGCUUCCGCCAAGUCUGUGGCGUUUGGAUUUGUGUAAGAAAAUCCUCUGAACACAUUCUGAUCCAUCGAAGUCAGGAUGUCCUCUGGAACAGCUGUGAGUCGCGGUCGUUCUGCCGUGAACGCUGUGUCAAAGUAUCUCGUAUCAAGAGUAUGCUCCACCGCUGGUUUAAAAGGUGCUUCCAAUUGUCUUCGUU